GCGCAGCAGUCGCGAAACCUUCGCAAUGCGGGAAACCGCGACGAGGGGACUCCCAGUGCCUACGCUCAGCGUAGGCUGUUCCCGAGCCUAGAAAGCUCGGGGAGUAAGGGCUGGGUAAGACGGGUGCCAGCCGCCGCGGUAAUACCCGCAGCCCGAGUGGUGGCCACUAUUAUUGGGCCUAAAAGCGUCCGUAGCCGGCCCGGUAAAUGCCUGGGUAAAUCGUGAGGCCUAACCUCACGAAUUCCGGGUAGACUGCCGGGCUAGGGACCGGAGGAGGGAGAGGGUACUCCAGGGGUAGGGGUGAAAUCCUGUAAUCCCUGGAGGACCACCGGUGGCGAAGGCGCUCUCCUAGGACGGGUCCGACGGUGAGGGACGAAAGCCAGGGGAGCGAACCGGAUUAGAUA
rnacentral:rRNA from 1 species